GACGAACGCUGGCGGCGUGCUUAACACAUGCAAGUCGAACGAAGUGGCGAACGGGUGAGUAACGCGUAAUCAACCUGCCCUUCAGAGGGGGACAACAGUUGGAAACGACUGCUAAUACCGCAUACUGAAGGAGGGGAUUGCGUCUGAUUAGCUGGUUGGAGGGGGAACGGCCCACCAAGGCGAUGAUCAGUAGGCGGUCCGGGGGGAUGAACCGCCACAUUGGGACUGGGAAACGGGCCAGAAUCCUACGGGAGGCAGCAGGGGGGAAUCUUCCGCCAUGGACGAAAGUCUGACGGAGCAACGCCGGGGGAGGGAUGACGGCCUUCGGGUUGUAAAGCUCUUUUAGUCGGGACGCGGUACCGGAAUAGAAAGCCACGGCUAACUACGUGCCAGCAGCCGCGGUAAUAC
rnacentral:rRNA from 1 species